rnacentral:tRNA from 1 species
GCCUUCGUGGUGUAGUGGUCAGCACACUCGGCGCGUAUUCGAGAGGUCCGCGGUUCGAGUCCCGGCGAGGGCA